UACGAGGGAUGCAAGCGUUAUCCGGAAUUAUUGGGCGUAAAGCGUCCGCAGGUGGUUUUACAAGUCUGCUGUCAAAGCGUGGAGCUUAACUCCAUACCGGCGGUGGAAACUGUAAGACUAGAGGUCAGUAGGGGUCACGGGAAUUCCCAGUGUAGCGGUGAAAUGCGUAGAUAUUGGGAAGAACACCAGCGGCGAAAGCGCGUGACUGGGCUGAUUCUGACACUCAUGGACGAAAGCUAGGGGAG
rnacentral:rRNA from 1 species